rnacentral:rRNA from 1 species
CCUACGGGGGGCAGCAGUGGGGAAUUUUGGACAAUGGGGGCAACCCUGAUCCAGCCAUGCCGCGUGAGUGAAGAAGGCCUUCGGGUUGUAAAGCUCUUUCGACGGGGAAGAUAAUGACGGUACCCGUAGAAGAAGCCCCGGCUAACUUCGUGCCAGCAGCCGCGGUAAUACGAAGGGGGCUAGCGUUGUUCGGAAUCACUGGGCGUAAAGAGUACGUAGGCGGAUUGUUAAGUCAGGGGUGAAAUCCCGAGGCUCAACCUCGGAACUGCCUUUGAUACUGGCAAUCUUGAGUCCGGGAGAGGUGAGUGGAACUCCUAGUGUAGAGGUGAAAUUCGUAGAUAUUAGGAAGAACACCAGUGGCGAAGGCGGCUCACUGGCCCGGAACUGACGCUGAGGUACGAAAGCGUGGGGAGCAAACAGGAUUAGAUACCCUAGUAGUCUG